GUGAGUAACCUGCCCUUGACUCUGGGAUAAGCCUUGGAAACGAGGUCUAAUACCGGAUAGGAGCGCCUACCGCAUGGUGGGUGCUGGAAAGAAUUUCGGUCAUGGAUGGACUCGCGGCCUAUCAGCUUGUUGGUGAGGUAAUGGCUCACCAAGGCGACGACGGGUAGCCGGCCUGAGAGGGUGACCGGCCACACUGGGACUGAGACACGGCCCAGACUCCUACGGGAGGCAGCAGUGGGGAAUAUUGCACAAUGGGCGAAAGCCUGAUGCAGCGACGCCGCGUGAGGGAUGACGGCCUUCGGGUUGUAAACCUCUUUCAGUAGGGAAGAAGCGAAAGUGACGGUACCUGCAGAAGAAGCACCGGCUAACUACGUGCCAGCAGCCGCGGUAAUACGUAGGGUGCGAGCGUUAUCCGGAAUUAUUGGGCGUAAAGAGCUCGUAGGCGGUUUGUCGCGUCUGUCGUGAAAGUCCGGGGCUUAACCCCGGAUCUGCGGUGGGUACGGGCAGACUAGAGUGCAGUA
rnacentral:rRNA from 1 species